AAAGCUCAAAUUUGAAAUCGGUGUCCAUCAAACGCCGAGUUGUAAUUUGGAGGGACAACUUCGGGCUGAACCACAUCGUAAGUUCCUUGGAACAGGACGUCAUAGAGGGUGAGAAUCCCGUGUCUUGAUGUCGGGUCAAACCAUGUGAAGUGUCUCCGACGAGUCGAGUUGUUUGGGAAUGCAGCUCAAAAUGGGUGGUAAAUUUCAUCUAAAGCUAAAUAUUGGCGAGAGACCGAUAGCGAA
rnacentral:rRNA from 1 species